rnacentral:misc_RNA from 1 species
AGCAGCCGCGGUAAUUCCAGCUCCAAUAGCGUAUAUUAAAGUUGUUGCAGUUAAAAGCUCGUAGUUGAAUUUCGGGAUUGACACAUCGGUCGUGCCUUAAGGGGUAUGAACUGGUGUAGUCAAUUUCUCACCUUCUGGAGAACCGCGAUGCCCUUAAUUGGGUGUCGCGGGGAACCAGGACCUUUACUUUGAAAAAUUAGAGUGUUUAAAGCAGGCAUUUUGCUUGAAUACAUUAGCAUGGAAUAAUAAAAUAGGACGGCAUGAUUCUAUUUUGUUGGUUUCUAGGAUCACCGUAAUGAUUAAUAGGGAUAGUUGGGGGCAUUAGUAUUCAAUUGUCAGAGGUGAAAUUCUUGGAUUUAUUGAAGACUAACUACUGCGAAAGCAUUUGCCAAGGAUGUUUUCAUUAAUCAAGAACGAAAGUUAGGGAUCGAAGACGAUCAGAUACCGUCGUAGUCUUAACCAUAAACUAUGCCGACUAGGAAUCAGACGAUGUUAAUUUUUAAUGUACUCGUUGGCACCU